UGAAAAGCGAAGAAAGGGAAGAGUAGCUGUAAAGGAACACACAGAGAGCCAUUGGUGGUGGAAAAUGGCAGGGACAAUACAGUGAACUGGCCCUGGAGCUUCCGGCUGAAGGAUGCAGCAUGGAACAAUAGAAGAAUUCCAUAUUCUUUGGUGUAAGGCACAGGAGAAGCAAAAGUAAGUCAGGACGGGUUCUCCCGUUACAGAGAUAGGUGUAGAAGCGCCGAUAAGUGCAUGUGAAUACAUGAAGCAGAGUGGUACCGCGCAAGAUUAUGAUAUCUUUCGUCUCUAUU
rnacentral:ncRNA from 1 species